ACUGCUAUCGGAGUUCGAGUAAGCCAUGCGAGCCUAAAGGUUUCUUCGGAAACCUUGGCGGACUGCUCAGUAACACGUGGAUAACCUACCCUUAGGACUGGAAUAACCCCGGGAAACUGGGGAUAAUACCGGAUAGAUCAGGGAUGCUGGAAUGCACCUUGAUCUAAAGCUCCGGCGCCUAAGGAUGGGUCUGCGGCCUAUCAGGUUGUAGUGGGUGUAACGUACCUACUAGCCGACGACGGGUACGGGUUGUGAGAGCAAGAGCCCGGAGAUGGAUUCUGAGACACGAAUCCAGGCCCUACGGGGUGCAGCAGGCGCGGAACCUUUACAAUGUGCGAAAGCAUGAUAAGGGGACUCCGAGUGCCAGCAUCUAAUGCUGGCUGUCCUUGUGCCUAAAAAGCACAAGAUAGCAAGGGCCGGGUAAGACCGGUGCCAGCCGCCGCGGUAACACCGGCGGCCCGAGUGGUAGCCGCUAUUAUUGGGUCUAAAGGGUCCGUAGCCGGUUUGGUAAGUCCUUUGGGAAAUCUGGUUGCUUAACAAUCAGACUGCCAAGGGAUACUGCUGAACUUGAGACCGGGAGAGGUAAGAGGUACUUCAGGGGUAGGAGUGAAAUCUUGUGAUCCCUGGGGGACCAUCUGUGGCGAAGGCGUCUUACCAGAACGGGUCUGACGGUGAGGGACGAAAGCUGGGGGCGCAAACCGGAUUAGAUACCCGGGUAGUCCCAGCCGUAAACGAUGCUCGCUAUGUGUCAGGUACGGUGCGACCGUAUCUGGUGCCGUAGGGAAGCCGUGAAGCGAGCCACCUGGGAAGUACGGUCGCAAGACUGAAACUUAAAGGAAUUGGCGGGGGAGCACUACAACGGGUGGAGCCUGCGGUUUAAUUGGAUUCAACGCCGGA
rnacentral:rRNA from 1 species